rnacentral:rRNA from 1 species
UACGAAGGGUGCAAACGUUGCUCGGAAUUAUUGGGCGUAAAGCGCACGUAGGCGGCUUUGCAAGUCGGAUGUGAAAUCCCUCGGCUCAACCAAGGAAGUGCAUCCGAAACUGCAGAGCUUGAGUACCAAAGAGGAUCGCGGAAUUCCCGGUGUAGAGGUGAAAUUCGUAGAUAUCGGGAGGAACGCCAGUGGCGAAGGCGGCGAUCUGGGUGGAUACUGACGCUGAGGUGCGAAAGCGUGGGGAGCAAACAGG